rnacentral:rRNA from 1 species
UACAGAGGGUGCGAGCGUUAAUCGGAAUUACUGGGCGUAAAGCGCGCGUAGGCGGCUUUGCAAGUCGGGUGUGAAAUCCCCAGGCUCAACCUGGGAACUGCAUUCGAGACUGCAUUGCUAGAGUAUGGGAGAGGGAAGUGGAAUUUCCGGUGUAGCGGUGAAAUGCGUAGAUAUCGGAAGGAACAUCAGUGGCGAAAGCGACUUCCUGGACCAAUACUGACGCUCAUGUGCGAAAGCGUGGGGAGCGAACCGG